rnacentral:miRNA from 1 species
UUUGGGAGGCUGAGACGGGAGGACCACUUGAGCCCAGGAGACCAAUCUGGGCAACAAAGUGAGACCCCCG